rnacentral:rRNA from 1 species
ACUACGGGUGGCAGCAGUGAGGGAUAUUGGUCAAUGGGGGAAACCCUGAACCAGCAACGCCGCGUGAGGGAAGACGGUUUUCGGAUUGUAAACCUCUGUCCUCUGUGAAGAUAAUGACGGUAGCAGAGGAGGAAGCUCCGGCUAACUACGUGCCAGCAGCCGCGGUAAUACGGAGGAUGCGAGCGUUAUCCGGAUUUAUUGGGUUGAAAGGGUGCGCAGGCGGAAGAUCAAGUCAGCGGUAAAAUUGAGGGGCUCAACCUCUUCGAGCCGUUGAAACUGGUUUUCUUGAGUGAGUGAGAAGUAUGCGGAAUGCGUGGUGUAGCGGUGAAAUGCAUAGAUAUCACGCAGAACUCCGAUUGCGAAGGCAGCAUACCGGCGCUCAACUGACGCUCAUGCACGAAAGUGUGGGUAGCGAACAGGAUUAGAUACCCGUGUAGUC